GAGUUUGAUCAUGGCUCAGGAUGAACGCUAGCGGCAGGCUUAACACAUGCAAGUCGAGGGGUAUAGUUCUUCGGAAUUAGAGACCGGCGCACGGGUGCGUAACGCGUAUGCAAUCUACCUUUCACAGAGGGAUAGCCCAGAGAAAUUUGGAUUAAUACCUCAUAGUAUAACGACUCCGCAUGGAGUUGUUAUUAAAGUCACAACGGUGAAAGAUGAGCAUGCGUCCCAUUAGCUAGUUGGUAAGGUAACGGCUUACCAAGGCUACGAUGGGUAGGGGUCCUGAGAGGGAGAUCCCCCACACUGGUACUGAGACACGGACCAGACUCCUACGGGAGGCAGCAGUGAGGAAUAUUGGACAAUGGGCGCAAGCCUGAUCCAGCCAUGCCGCGUGCAGGAUGACGGUCCUAUGGAUUGUAAACUGCUUUUGCACAGGAAGAAACAACGCUACGUGUAGCGUCUUGACGGUACUGUGAGAAUAAGGAUCGGCUAACUCCGUGCCAGCAGCCGCGGUAAUACGGAGGAUCCAAGCGUUAUCCGGAAUCAUUGGGUUUAAAGGGUCCGUAGGCGGUUUAGUAAGUCAGUGGUGAAAGCCCAUCGCUCAACGGUGGAACGGCCAUUGAUACUGCUAGACUUGAAUUAUUAGGAAGUAACUAGAAUAUGUAGUGUAGCGGUGAAAUGCUUAGAGAUUACAUGGAAUACCAAUUGC
rnacentral:rRNA from 1 species